rnacentral:lncRNA from 1 species
AAGCGAGAGGGAGGUUACGUCACGGGCGUGACGUCACAUCACUGCGAUGACGACAUCACAGCUACACCCAGACAUGAAAAAAAAAAAAACAGCAGCUUUUGAAAGCUCCCGUUAAGCAGUAGAGAAGGGCAAAUCCCACACAGGGAAACACCCACCAGGAACAAUUAGGAGCUGUGGUGACUGCACGAUGGCUGCUGAGGCACCGACCCUGCGCAUCCACGGUUUGUUUCUUCAGUAUAUUUUCUACUGCAUCAAUCUUGCUGAACAUUUUAAAAAUCACUUCACUUGGGAAACCGUCCAUGCCUGCUAAAGAUCAGCCCAGAUUUACUUUUCCUAUAUUUGUGCAAAUACAUGUGUUUCAAGGAGAGAUUAUCCAGUUGCUUAAAGGCUGUGUGUGGAACACCCACAGAAUUGAAGAGACCAGCAACGUCAUCCCAAGCCUGCUUCAAAUCAUUCUGCAGAACCAGGCCCAGGAUGUAAGGGGAAAAGCGUACCACCACCUGUGGACACAUGCAGUCACUACCUCUCAUCACAGGCCAAAAAUGUGGGCAAAUCCCAACACAUGGCCACAUCUGUAA